GUGGCCAAGUUUUUAAGGGCGCACGGUGGAUGCCUUGGCACCAGGAACCGAUGAAGGACGUGGGAGGCCACGAUAGUCCCCGGGGAGUCGUCAACCAGGCUUUGAUCCGGGGGUUUCCGAAUGGGGAAACCCGGCAGUCGUCAUGGGCUGUCACCCAUACCUGAACACAUAGGGUAUGUGGAGGGAACGCGGGGAAGUGAAACAUCUCAGUACCCGCAGGAAGAGAAAACAACCGUGAUUCCGGGAGUAGUGGCGAGCGAAACCGGAUGAGGCCAAACCGUAUGCGUGUGAGACCCGGCAGGGGUUGCGUAUACGGGGUUGUGGGAUCUCUCUUUCACAGUCUGCCGGCUGUGAGGCGAGUCAGAAACCGUUGAUGUAGGCGAAGGACAUGCGAAAGGUCCGGCGUAGAGGGUAAGACCCCCGUAGUCGAAACAUCAGCGGCUCGUUUGAGAGACACCCAAGUAGCACGGGGCCCGAGAAAUCCCGUGUGAAUCUGGCGGGACCACCCGCUAAGCCUAAAUAUUCCCUGGUGACCGAUAGCGGAUAGUACCGUGAGGGAAUGGUGAAAAGUACCGCGGGAGCGGAGUGAAAUAGUACCUGAAACCGUGUGCCUACAAGCCGUGGGAGCGUCGCUCACAGAGUUUACUCUGUGGGUCGUGACUGCGUGCCUUUUGAAGAAUGAGCCUGCGAGUUUGCGGUGUGUUGCGAGGUUAACCCGUGUGGGGAAGCCGUAGCGAAAGCGAGUCCGAACAGGGCGGUUUAGUAGCGCGCUCAAGACCCGAAGCGGAGUGAUCUAGCCAUGGGCAGGUUGAAGCGGAGGUAAGACUUCGUGGAGGACCGAACCCACCAGGGUUGAAAACCUGGGGGAUGACCUGUGGUUAGGGGUGAAAGGCCAAUCAAACUCCGUGAUAGCUGGUUCUCCCCGAAAUGCAUUUAGGUGCAGCGUCGUGUGUUUCUUGCCGGAGGUAGAGCACUGGAUAGGCGAUGGGCCCUACCGGGUUACUGACCUUAGCCAAACUCCGAAUGCCGGUAAGUGAGAGCGCGGCAGUGAGACUGUGGGGGAUAAGCUCCAUGGUCGAGAGGGAAACAGCCCAGAGCAUCGACUAAGGCCCCUAAGCGUACGCUAAGUGGGAAAGGAUGUGGAGUCGCAGAGACAACCAGGAGGUUGGCUUAGAAGCAGCCACCCUUGAAAGAGUGCGUAAUAGCUCACUGGUCUAGUGAUUCCGCGCCGACAAUGUAGCGGGGCUCAAGCGUACCGCCGAAGUCGUGUCAUUCCAGCAAUAGCCCCAACGGGUGCUGGGAUGGGUAGGGGAGCGUCGUGUGCCGGGUGAAGCCGCAGCGGAAGCUAGUGGUGGACGGUUCACGAGUGAGAAUGCAGGCAUGAGUAGCGAUACACACGUGAGAAACGUGUGCGCCGAUUGACUAAGGGUUCCUGGGUCAAGCUGAUCUGCCCAGGGUAAGUCGGGACCUAAGGCGAGGCCGACAGGCGUAGUCGAUGGAUAACCGGUUGAUAUUCCGGUACCCGCUGUGAAGCGUCAAACAUCGAGCAUCGUGAUGCUAAGGCCGUGAAGCCGUUCCGGACCCUUCGGGGAAUGGAAAGUGGUGGAGCCGCCGGCCCAAGCGGUUAGUAGGUGAGUGAUGGGGUGACGCAGGAAGGUAGUCCAUCCCGGGCGGUGGUUGUCCCGGGGUAAGGGUGUAGCCCGUCAUCUAGGCAAAUCCGGAUGACAUGAGGGUGAGACCUGAUGCCGAGCCGAUUGUGGUGAAGUGGAUGAUCCUAUGCUGUCGAGAAAAGCCUCUAGCGAGUUUCAUGGCGGCCCGUACCCUAAACCGACUCAGGUGGUCAGGUAGAGAAUACCGAGGCGUUCGGGUGAACUAUGGUUAAGGAACUCGGCAAAAUGCCCCCGUAACUUCGGGAGAAGGGGGGCCAUCACCGGUGAUUGAAUUUACUUCAUGAGCUGGGGGUGGCCGCAGAGACCAGCGAGAAGCGACUGUUUACUAAAAACACAGGUCCGUGCGAAGCCGUAAGGCGAUGUAUACGGACUGACGCCUGCCCGGUGCUGGAACGUUAAGGGGACCGGUUAGUCACUCUUCGGGGUGGCGAAGCUGAGAACUUAAGCGCCAGUAAACGGCGGUGGUAACUAUAACCAUCCUAAGGUAGCGAAAUUCCUUGUCGGGUAAGUUCCGACCUGCACGAAUGGCGUAACGACUUCUCGACUGUCUCAACCAUAGGCCCGGUGAAAUUGCACUACGAGUAAAGAUGCUCGUUUCGCGCAGCAGGACGGAAAGACCCCGGGACCUUUACUACAGUUUGAUAUUGGUGUUCGGUUCGGCUUGUGUAGGAUAGCUGGGAGACUGUGAAGCUUGGACGCCAGUUCAGGUGGAGUCGUCGUUGAAAUACCAGUCUGGUCGUGCUGGAUGUCUAACCUGGGUCCGUGAUCCGGAUCAGGGACAGUGUCUGAUGGGUAGUUUAACUGGGGCGGUUGCCUCCUAAAGAGUAACGGAGGCGCCCAAAGGUUCCCUCAGCCUGGUUGGCAAUCAGGUGUUGAGUGUAAGUGCACAAGGGAGCUUGACUGUGAGACCGACGGGUCGAGCAGGGACGAAAGUCGGGACUAGUGAUCCGGCGGUGGCUUGUGGAAGCGCCGUCGCUCAACGGAUAAAAGGUACCCCGGGGAUAACAGGCUGAUCUUCCCCAAGAGUCCAUAUCGACGGGAUGGUUUGGCACCUCGAUGUCGGCUCGUCGCAUCCUGGGGCUGGAGUCGGUCCCAAGGGUUGGGCUGUUCGCCCAUUAAAGCGGUACGCGAGCUGGGUUUAGAACGUCGUGAGACAGUUCGGUCCCUAUCCGCUGCGCGCGCAGGAACAUUGAGAAGGGCUGUCCCUAGUACGAGAGGACCGGGACGGACGAACCUCUGGUGUGCCAGUUGUUCUGCCAAGGGCAUGGCUGGUUGGCUACGUUCGGGAGGGAUAACCGCUGAAAGCAUCUAAGCGGGAAGCCUGCUUCGAGAUGAGUGUUCCCACCCCCUUUGAGGGGUUAAGGCUCCCAGUAGACGACUGGGUUGAUAGGCCGGAUCUGGAAGGCGGGUAACCGCUGGAGGUGACCGGUACUAAUAGGCCGAGGGCUUGUCCUCA
rnacentral:rRNA from 1 species